rnacentral:hammerhead_ribozyme from 1 species
GCACUACUGACGAGUCCUAAACCGGAUGAAACAGCUGUCCAGUGC